rnacentral:tRNA from 1 species
UCCUCAGUGGCUGACAGGGUAAAGAAUCUGCCUGCAAUGCAGGAAACCUGGGUUUGAUCCCUAGGUUGGGAA